rnacentral:misc_RNA from 1 species
CUUUUUGCAGAUCGCUUGACUUUGUAAGCCUGCAUUAGACAGCUGGCCUUCACUGAUAUUGUGUGGUAGACACGUUUUGAAGGAACGAAGAAACUUAUGUUCGGUGGUUGUGUUUUAGUUUAAGUCUCAUCAUAAACAUUCUCAAUCAUUUCUGCAUACUUUCUAAUUGGGACAAAAAACAUCUGUACCACUCUCAACUGUCUUUUUUCCUACUUUUUACUGCAACAUUUAAUGUUAAUUCAACAUCCUGUAACCUAACAAAAACUCCUCAACCGCCUCAGCC